rnacentral:miRNA from 1 species
UUACCCUGUUACAUUGUAGAAUGC